AAGUCGAACGAGAAAUUCCAAAACAAACCCUUCGGGGUGCGUUUUGGAAUGGAAAGUGGCGGACGGGCGAGUAACGCGUGAGUAACCUGCCCAUAAGAGGGGGAUAAUCCAUGGAAACGUGGACUAAUACCGCAUAUUGAAUAUUUACCGCAUGGCAGAUAUUUGAAAGAUUUAUCGCUUAUGGAUGGACUCGCGUCAGAUUAGCUAGUUGGUGAGGUAAAGGCUCACCAAGGCGACGAUCUGUAGCCGAACUGAGAGGUUGAUCGGCCGCAUUGGGACUGAGACACGGCCCAGACUCCUACGGGAGGCAGCAGUGGGGAAUAUUGCGCAAUGGGGGGAACCCUGACGCAGCAACGCCGCGUGCAGGAAGAAGGUCUUCGGAUUGUAAACUGUUGUCGCAAGGGAAGAAGACAGUGACGGUACCUUGUGAGAAAGUCACGGCUAACUACGUGCCAGCAGCCGCGGUAAUACGUAGGUGACAAGCGUUGUCCGGAUUUACUGGGUGUAAAGGGCGCGUAGGCGGACUGUCAAGUCAGUCGUGAAAUACCGGGGCUCAACCCCGGGGCUGCGAUUGAAACUGACAGCCUUGAGUAUCGGAGAGGAAAGCGGAAUUCCUAGUGUAGCGGUGAAAUGCGUAGAUAUUAGGGGGAACACCAGUGGCGAAGGCGGCUUUCUGGACGACAACU
rnacentral:rRNA from 1 species